AUUGAACGCUAGCGGGAUGCCUUACACAUGCAAGUCGAACGGAGUGGCGAACGGGUGAGUAAUGUAUCGGAACGUGCCCAGUAGCGGGGGAUAACUACGCGAAAGCGUAGAUAAUACCGCAUACUAUUGUAUCGGACGAUAUCCGAUUAGCCAGUUGGUGGGGUAACGGGUCACCAAGGCGACGAUCCGUAGCUGGUUUGAGAGGACGACCAGCCACAGUGGGACUGAGACACGGCCCAGACUCCGACGGGAGGCAGCAGUGGGGAAUGUGGGACAAUGGGGGAAACCCUGAUCCAGCCAUCCCGCGUGUGCGAUGAAGGCCUUCGGGUUGGAAAGCACUUGUGGCAGUAAAGCGGGACCUGCAGAAUAGGCACCGGCUAACUACGUGACAGCAGCCGCGGUAAUUC
rnacentral:rRNA from 1 species